AUGGCCACGAAGAAAUAUUUCUUCUCUUAUGGAUCCUUCUCGAUUAAGGACGGCUCGGAAAUUAGAUUUUGGGAGGACAAGUGGCUAGGGAAGGCCACACUCCGAGAACAAUAUCCGGCUCUAUACAACAUUGUGCGUCACAAGGGUGAUACUAUCGCUACGGUAAUGCAAUCAUUUCCACCAAAUGUGGCGUUCAGAAGAGAUUUAAUUGGAUCCAGACUCCAAUUGUGGUACAUCCUGCUCCAGCGGUUGUCCACGGUGCAAUUGUCAUAUGGGUCUGAUAUAUUUCGACGGAACCUACAUGGGAAUGGUCAAUUCUCAGUGGAGUCUACGUAUAGAGCGUUAAUCCAGUCUGAUGUGCCAGUUGAUAAUAACAAGAAGAUCUGGAAGAUAAAGAUACCUCUGAAGAAAAAAAAAUCUUUGCAUGUGUAG
rnacentral:rRNA from 1 species